GACAGAGGAUGCAAGCGUUAUCCGGAAUGAUUGGGCGUAAAGAGCUCGUAGGCGGUUCGUCACGUCGGCUGUGAAAUCCCGAGGCUCAACCUCGGGUCUGCAGUCGAUACGGGCGGACUUGAGUACUGCAGGGGAGACUGGAAUUCCUGGUGUAGCGGUGAAAUGCGCAGAUAUCAGGAAGAACACCCGUGGCGAAGGCGGCUCUCUGGGACGGUACUGACGCUGAGACGCGAAAGCGUGGGGAGCGAACAGG
rnacentral:rRNA from 1 species